AAAUCUGUUUCCAGGCAGUGGGCAAGCAGGGCUGAGAAUUGCCCCAGACUACCCACCUCCCAGCUGCAAAGGAAAAGGGCUCAGUUCUUCCCCCACCUGUGGAGUCUGCAUGCUGGAUUCCCGUUCUCCCCAGAGUUCUGGCCAGGAGGCUUCUUGCCUGGUUCAAAUUGUUAUGAAGUUCAGCUGGAGACUUCCUUCUCCCUGUGGCAUUUUCCCCACACCUCUAGCUGCCCUCCUGAAGGAUCCUGGUGGUGCCAGCCGUUCCUCCCCUUCACCUCCACCUGAUUAUUCAUGUCGUGAAGAAACUGGUCUACUUGUCCUGUAGAAUCGCCCGUAUUGUGGAUUUGGCCAUUGCUUCUACAUGAUGAUAAGAGAAUGUUACAUUAGCAGAGACAUCCAUUAAACAGGAGAGCUGAGGCCAUCUGACGCUGAGAAUCACAAUAACAGGGACAAAGCCAAAAGGGAAGGAAAAUGGGGGCCAAAAUGGUGAGGGGAGCCAAAAAGCGUGAGAAGAAGCACGCUCAGCCUCACUGGCUCCUGACUUCUCUCUGAGUGAGU
rnacentral:lncRNA from 10 species